rnacentral:lncRNA from 1 species
CGUUGUAGUAACAUUGCCUCUUUUUUAUCAGGCAAUAUUUGUCCAUAAAUAUCACGUCUUCUUACAUUCUUGUCAGAGUUUGUAUGUUCUGCAUAUCGCCGUUUGUUUCUUUGGCCGGAAUACAUUUUUUCACAAGCUUAUUAACGCAAGAUAACUGCAUUUAUAAUAGUCAAAACAAAAAAGGCAUCAGUAGACCCUAAGUAACAUAUUUUAUUGUCCAUUCUACUGCUAAAUAAUAGAAAUAUAAUAACCCGUUGGGGUUCAGUCUUUUAAAGACCAAUCUUUUAAAGAAAGUAGAAUAGUAGGGGGGAAAAAAUGAAGAGAACUUAGAAUUCACAGAAGAAAUCCAAAAUAAAUAAAUUAAUAAAAACAGACAACAAAUCAGAACCCAACCUCACUUUUUUUCACUUUUCUGAAACGAAUCUUAAGACUAAAAUGAAGAAAAUAUUGUUAAUCAAGCCAAAACCCCAAAGAUCUGAUAUUUUUGCAGAAGAAGAAAAAGUAGAACAGAAAGCAUAAAUAAAAUGAAAUACUGGACUAAUUGGAAUAAACAUGCUCUUUGUGGUAGAUGAGAAUCGGAAAAGGCUAAGUGCUCUAAUUUCGUUGAAUUAUUAGGUGAAGUCUGCUAAAUUUUGGGGCAAUUGAUGAUGUCCUCUUUCCUUCCUUCGGUAAUUUUUUGUUAUUGCAAACAGAUGUGGAGUAAGUUGUGUUGAAUUGAGGUUUUAGGUUUGAAUAAUUGGGAGUCCACGCAUUGGCUAAUGGCAGAAAGAGU